CAAUAGCGUAUAUUAAAGUUGUUUGCAGUUAAAAGCUCGUAGUUGGAUUUCUGGCUGGAGCGAUCGGUCCGCCCCGCAAGGGGUGUGUACUAGCGUCGUCUCCGACCAUCCUUGUGGGAACUGUGCGGCCGUUAACUCGGUUGUAUAUGGGAACACAUCGUUUACUGUGAAAAAUUUAGAGUGUUUAAAGCAGGCUUAAGCCGUUGAAUACAUUAGCAUGGAAUAAUAAGAUAAGACUUGGGUCAUUAUUUUGUUGGUUUGCGGAUCGAGGUAAUGAUUAAUAGGGAUAGUUGGGGGUAUUCAUAUUUAAUUGUCAGAGGUGAAAUUCUGGAUUUAUGAAAGAUGAACUUAGGCGAAAGCAUUUACCAAGGAUGUUUUUCAUUUAAUCAAGAACGAAAGUUUAGGGGAUCGAAGAUGAUUAGAUACCGU
rnacentral:rRNA from 1 species